UACAGAGGGGGCAAGCGUUAUUCGGAAUUAUUGGGCGUAAAGGGCGCGUAGGCGGCCAUUCAAGUGACGGGUGAAAGCCCUCGGCUUAACCGAGGAACUGCCUGUCAGACUGGAUGGCUUGAGACCGGGAGAGGUGAGUGGAAUUCCCAGUGUAGCGGUGAAAUGCGUAGAUAUUGGGAGGAACACCGGUGGCGAAGGCGGCCCCCUGGACCGGUACUGACGCUGAGGCGCGAAAGCGUGGGUAGCAAACGGG
rnacentral:rRNA from 1 species